rnacentral:tRNA from 1 species
AGUUAAAACUCCAAUGAAGGUAAUAUGUUUUGAAAGCAUAAAUAAGAGGUUAAAUUCCUCUUUUAACUU